rnacentral:rRNA from 1 species
GUAGGUGAACCUGCGGAAGGAUCAUUGUCGAAAUCGAACGGAAGAACGACCCGCGAAUCGUCAUUGCGUACUAGAGAGGGCCCGUGAGCACCUAACGCUCAUGGGGCUCGCGUCGCGUCGGCGUGGGUGUACUCGAGACCCGCGUCGCACGGCGGACAAACAACGUCAGCACGGAUCGUGCCAAGGAAGUGCAUGGGGAGAAUCGUCGUCCCCCGCCUUCGAUAGCCCUCGAUGCGGGGCGGGGGAUGUACGCAAUCUCUACUCAAGUCUAAACGACUCUCGGCAACGGAUAUCUCGGCUCUUGCAUCGAUGAAGAACGUAGCGAAAUGCGAUACUUGGUGUGAAUUGCAGAAUCCCGCGAACCAUCAAUUCUUUGAACGCAAGUUGCGCCCGAAGCCUUUCGGCCGAGGGCACGCCUGCCUGGGUGUCGUGAAUCCCCUUGCCCCUAGGCACCCGCAUGAGGAUUGGCGGGGAUACAUGCUCGGGCGCAGAAUAUGGUCUCCCGUGGGAUCGGCAUGCACGGCAUGUCGAGGUGCGGUUGGCCGAAAAUCGAGCAUGGCGGUGACGGGCACCACGGCGUUCGGUGGAUCGAAUGAGAUUGUCUGCGCCGUGGGUUCGGCAUGCGGCGGGCUCCGGACUUUGAAUACCCCCGAGUGCGAUCCCAGGUCAGGCGGGGCUACCCGCUGAGUUUAAG